rnacentral:rRNA from 1 species
CAUGCAGUCGAACGGAAGGCCCAAGCUUGCUUGGGUACUCGAGUGGCGAACGGGUGAGUAACACGUGGGUGAUCUGCCCUGCACUUCGGGAUAAGCCUGGGAAACUGGGUCUAAUACCGGAUAGGACGAUGGUUUGGAUGCCAUUGUGGAAAGUUUUUUCGGUGUGGGAUGAGCUCGCGGCCUAUCAGCUUGUUGGUGGGGUAAUGGCCUACCAAGGCGUCGACGGGUAGCCGGCCUGAGAGGGUGUACGGCCACAUU